UUAAAUAUAAUUUACGAUUUUUAGAAAUAAAUAUGUAAUUAACGAAUAUUUAUUUUAUACUUUUAAAUAUUUCAACGGUUUAUGAAAUUAAAAUAAUUUUAGAAUUUGAUGUUGAAAAGAAUUUGAAUUACGAAAACACGAUUGAAAUUAGAAAACAAUCUUAAGCGGUGUUGAAUUCAAAUACCAAACUUAAUUCUAAUCCUAGCCCAAAUUAGCAAAGCCCAAAAUAAGUUAAACCCACAUCCCUUACCCAUAUUCCAAAUUUAUGUAAAACUCUCAAUCCCCUCCUCUCCUUCACGUGAAAAAGAAAAAAAAAAACAAGAAACCUCAAAAACCCUCAUUCUCUCAUUCAGCAACCACGUGAACCCACCCCUGCUUCACGUUGCUGCAGCUGUCCACGCCGCCUCCACCGCCGGCGUUUUCCCUCCCCGUCGCCGCCGCACCACCGCGCGCCGCACCACUUGCACCGCCACUGCGGCCCUGCCUAGCCGACCUCCCUCCUUUCUCCUCCACACACGCACUCUCUUAUGUGCUUCUUGCGCGAACACGCAACAACCAAGUGCGCCCACCGCAGUCACCACCUCCAGCCGCGUCGCCCGUUCUCCGCGACCACCUCCCUUGCUGCCGCGCCGUGCACCACCGCCCAGCCUCUCCUCUCCUCUUUAGUUUGGCGGAGAAUUCUUUGUGGGUGACUUUUGAAUUCGUUAAAGUGGCCUAUCAGUUUGUUUACACAAGUCUCUAAGGAUCAAUAAGCAUUGUCCAUCUGCAGGUUUGAAGAUGUUGCAUCAUUGAGAUCGGGAAUAGAGAGCUUGUAUUUAGUUUUGAUUUGCUAAGUUAACUUGGGUUUGUUAAUUGGGACUUUAAACUUGUCGUACUAUUUAUAUUUCCUUAUUUUCGUUGGAUGAUUCUUGGGGACUAAAUCUGUAAUAGAUUAUUUAUAAACCUAAAGUUAGUUUUAUGUUUUCCGCUGCAAAAUUCUGAAUAAGCCGUUACGUUUUCACACGGGCGAUAAUGCCUUGAUAAUUCUCUACGUUUUAUGUUAAAAGAUUAUUUUAGAAAAGAGAGAAUUGUCGGGGUGUUACAAAGUGGUAUCAGAGCUAAGGUUUUAUUU